rnacentral:rRNA from 1 species
AGUGAACGCUGGCGGUAGGCCUAACACAUGCAAGUCGAACGGCAGCACAGUAAGAGCUUGCUCUUACGGGUGGCGAGUGGCGGACGUGUGAGGAAUACAUCGGAAUCUACUUUUUCGUGGGGGAUAACGUAGGUAAACUUACGCUAAUACCGCAUACGACCUACGGGUGAAAGCAGUGGAUCUUCUGACCUUGCGCGAUUGAAUGAGCCGAUGUCGGAUUAGCUAGUUGGCGGGGUAAAGGCCCACCAAGGCGACGAUCCGUAGCUGGUCUGAGAGGAUGGUCAGCCACACUGGAACUGAGACACGGUCCAGACUCCUACGGGAGGCAGCAGUGGGGAAUAUUGGACAAUGGGCGCAAGCCUGAUCCAGCCAUACCGCGUGGGUGAAGAAGGCCUUCGGGUUGUAAAGCCCUUUUGUUGGGAAAGAAAAGCAGCAGGUUAAUACCCCGCUGUUCUGACGGUACCCAAAGAAUAAGCACCGGCUAACUUCGUG